GAUGAACGCUAGCGGCAGGCUUAACACAUGCAAGUCGAGGGGUAACAUUGGUGCUUGCAUCAGAUGACGACCGGCGCACGGGUGCGUAACGCGUAUAGAACCUACCUUUUACUGGGGAAUAGCCCAGAGAAAUUUGGAUUAAUGUCCCAUAGUAUGCUUAUUUGGCAUCAUUUGAGUAUUAAAGAUUUAUUGGUAAGAGAUGGCUAUGCGUUCUAUUAGCUAGUUGGUAUGGUAACGGCAUACCAAGGCUACGAUAGAUAGGGGUCCUGAGAGGGAGAUCCCCCACACUGGUACUGAGACACGGACCAGACUCCUACGGGAGGCAGCAGUGAGGAAUAUUGGACAAUGGAGGCAACUCUGAUCCAGCCAUGCCGCGUGCAGGAAGACUGCCCUAUGGGUUGUAAACUGCUUUUAUAGAGGAAGAAACCAGCUCUUGCGAGAGUUGCUGACGGUACUCUACGAAUAAGGAUCGGCUAACUCCG
rnacentral:rRNA from 1 species